rnacentral:rRNA from 1 species
GAGUGAACGCUGGCGGUAGGCCUAACACAUGCAAGUCGAACGUCAGCACAGUAAGAGCUUGCUCUUACGGGUGGCGAGUGGCGGACGGGUGAGGAAUACAUCGGAAUCUACUUUUUCGUGGGGGAUAACGUAGGGAAACUUACGCUAAUACCGCAUACGACCUACUGGUGAAAGCAGGGGAUCUUCGGACCUUGCGCGAUUGAAUGAGCCGAUGUCGGAUUAGCUAGUUGGCGGGGUAAAGGCCCACCAAGGCGACGAUCCGUAGCUGGUCUGAGAGGAUGAUCAGCCACACUGGAACUGAGACACGGUCCAGACUCCUACGGGAGGCAGCAGUGGGGAAUAUUGGACAAUGGGCGCAAGCCUGAUCCAGCCAUACCGCGUGGGUGAAGAAGGCCUUCGGGUUGUAAAGCCCUUUUGUUGGGAAAGAAAAGCAGCAGGUUAAUACCCCGCUGUUCUGACGGUACCCAAAGAAUAAGCACCGGCUAACUUCGUG